GGUGGACGCUGGCGGCGUGGAUGAGGCAUGCAAGUCACGGGGGCGGAGCAAUCCGCAACCGGCGAACGAGGUAGUAAUACGCAGGUACGCACCCCAAAGUCGGGCAUAGCUAGCCGAAAGGCUAGGUAAUUCCCGAUGUUGUAGUGAUACCAAAGGAGUAAUCCGCUUUGGGAGCGGCCUGCGAAGCAUCAGCUAGUUGGUAAGGUAACGGCUUACCAAGGCUAUGACGCUUAGGGGACCUGAGAGGGUGACCCCCACCGAUGGAACUGAGACACGGUCCAUACACCUACGGGUGGCAGCAGCCGAGAAUAUUCGACAAUGGGCGAAAGCCUGAUCGAGCGACGCCGCGUGCUGGAUGAAGUCCUUAGGGACGUAAACAGCUUUUAUGCGUGAGGAAGUUAUUGACGUUAGCGCAUGAAUAAGGGGCUCCUAACUCUGUGC
rnacentral:rRNA from 1 species